CAAAUUUUAUCUUAAUUUUAAAGAACCUUUUUUACAUUAAGGUUAUCAUUAAUUUUUUAAUGUUUUUUGA
rnacentral:tRNA from 1 species